rnacentral:rRNA from 1 species
AUUGAACGCUGGCGGCAGGCCUAACACAUGCAAGUCGAGCGGAUGAAGGGAGCUUGCUCCUGGAUUCAGCGGCGGACGGGUGAGUAAUGCCUAGGAAUCUGCCUGGUAGUGGGGGAUAACGUCCGGAAACGGGCGCUAAUACCGCAUACGUCCUGAGGGAGAAAGUGGGGGAUCUUCGGACCUCACGCUAUCAGAUGAGCCUAGGUCGGAUUAGCUAGUUGGUGGGGUAAAGGCCUACCAAGGCGACGAUCCGUAACUGGUCUGAGAGGAUGAUCAGUCACACUGGAACUGAGACACGGUCCAGACUCCUACGGGAGGCAGCAGUGGGGAAUAUUGGACGAUGGGCGAAAGCCUGAUCCAGCCAUGCCGCGUGUGUGAAGAAGGUCAUCGGAUUGUAAAGCACUUUAAGUUGGGAGGAAGGGCAGUAAGUUAAUACCUUGCUGUUGACGUUACCAACAGAAUAAGCACCGGCUAACUUCGUG